GCUUUUAUGACAUCGUGUGUGGGGACCUAUGGCAGGAGCCUCGCCCUGUCCUGGCACACGUUGGCCCCAAGCAAACGUGGAGGUCCUCCAGAGGGACAAGGAGGCAUCAUGGGCAUCUCCACAGCUGAUGGCAGGAUCCCGGGUGCCCUGUACCCCUUCGUCUGCUGCCUGCAAUAUGAACGCACACCACAGCCUCCAGUGGAAGCAUUCCAAGAUCUGCAGCAAAUAUCUAGCUCAUUGGCAGAAGCAGGUUUUUGGCAUGAACAACUGUUUUUCACUUUGAUUUCGACUCCAGCAGAAGUUCUGCAAGAUGACCUGGGAAUAAAGUUGGCCAAGAAGCCUCCGAGGGGAGAUCGGCGUGUGAGGUGGAGAGCCCCGCGUCUACAUGAGGUGUGAGAUCCCAACAGGUUGACAAUGGAAGCAGAGCUGAGAAUCCGGUCAUCUUAUAUUAA
rnacentral:lncRNA from 1 species